UACAGAGGGUGCAAGCGUUGUUCGGAAUUAUUGGGCGUAAAGCGCGUGUAGGCGGCUCGUUAUGUCGGUGUGAAAGCCCUCAGCUUAACUGAGGAAGUGCGCCCGAAACUGGCGAGCUUGAGUGUCGGAGAGGAUAGCGGAACACCCGGUGUAGAGUGAAAUUCGUAGAUAUCAGAGGAACACCGGUGGCGAAGGCGGGUCUCUGGCCAAUACUGACGCUUGAGGAGCGAAAGCGUGGGAGCGAACAGG
rnacentral:rRNA from 1 species